AACGAACGCUGGCGGCAUGCCUAACACAUGCAAGUCGAACGCGUGUAGCAAUACACGAGUGGCGGACGGGUGAGUAACGCGUGGGAACCUGCCCAGUGGUAGGGAAUAACUGCGGGAAACUGCAGCUAAUACCCUAUACGCCCUUUGGGGGAAAGAUUCAUCGCCAUUGGAGGGGCCCGCGUCGGAUUAGCUAGUUGGCGGGGUAACGGCCCACCAAGGCAACGAUCCGUAGCUGGUCUGAGAGGACGACCAGCCACACUGGCACUGCGACACGGGCCAGACUCCUACGGGAGGCAGCAGUAAGGAAUAUUGCGCAAUGGGCGAAAGCCUGACGCAGCGACGCCGCGUGGGGGAUGAAGGUCUUCGGAUUGUAAACCCC
rnacentral:rRNA from 1 species